AUGAGGGAAAAUGAUCUACCUAGGAAGUGUAUCAUCCCAUUAUAGAUUAAAUGUGAGUAAAGAAUAAAGACAUACUCAGAUUGCAAUUUAGAAUAAGAGUACUUCCAAAUACUUUUCCAGGAUUUAUGGUACUACUUUUUUCCACCAAACUUAGAGGAGAGACAAAAUGAAAGAAGGCAGAAGAUAAAGGAAACAGCCACACCAACAAAGGAGACAGGAGAAGGAGAGGCCCAGGAUGAUAUGGGAAAGCUCCAGAUAACAUAGCUAUAGUGGGCAAAGAAGACAACCGGUCCACAUUGGGAUAGGAAAAUGGAGGACCACAGAAGAUAUUUCUCCAAGAAGUCAAAACUGAUAGAAUAUCUCAUAUGUUGGAAAAUAUUAAGGGGAUGUUGACACUUUUGAGACAGUGUUCUGGGUUGAUUUUGUUCUGGGGAUACAGGAAACUAAGCAAGCAAAAAAUUAAGAAAAAUUAGUAAUGCUAGGGGAAGCAACAUUGUACAAGAAAGGAUAUAUAAUCAUAGUAGUCUGCAUGGCUCAGCUGCACAUAACAUUUGGUAUUAUCAUGAAAAUGUGAAGACUAAAUACACCGCCAAGAAAAAUCAUCCUAUAUCUAUAUUGAGAGAGCAGAUGGGAAAUACAUGUAGGGAGGGAGGAUAUGAGAACGAAAUCUUUCACAGUCGGAAGUUAAUGGAAAAUGUUUAACUUCAUUAAAAAAAAAAAAAACACAUGUUUUGUAUUGUCUACACUUAGUUUGUCUAAUGUUCACUUCCCUUUAAUGACCACCUCAACACUGAAAUCUGGCUUCCACACUUGUCAAUAGCAAAUAUCACCGAUGACCUUUUUAUUGCUUAGGCCAAAGGACAUGGAAACUUUGUAGCUUUUGUGUGUCUUCUCCACAGCCAUUUCUCUGUAGACCUGAGCUCCAGUUGCAAACAGGCAAGGGCCCUCUUAACAUGUUAUGGAUGUCCCAGAGACUCCUUGAGACCAAUGGGUCAGAACCUGGACUCCCUGAUCAAAACCCAAUCCCCAUCCCCCACUCCCAGAUCCCCUACUCCUUAUCUCAUAGUCCCAGGCGUAGUUAAUAACACCAUCAUUCAAAGCAUUAUGGAGCAGACCAGACCAAGGGCUGAUCAGAGGGAAAAAACCUAUUGUAAUGGCUAAAAGCUUAUUGGAAACAAAGAAAACCCACAUCUAUCAGAUUUCCUCUCAGAGGGACAUGUCAAAUAAACCUUUUUCAGUCGAAGGUGGAAGAAGCAAGUUUGAAGCCAGAGGACAGGAGAGGAGAGGCUGAGGACGUUUGCGAGGUGCUAUGUCAAAUAGAUCUGUUUGAUAGGG